rnacentral:rRNA from 1 species
CGUGUGCUUACAAGUAGUCAGAGCCCGUUAAUGGGUGAUGGCGUGCCUUUUGUAGAAUGAACCGGCGAGUUACGAUUUGAUGCAAGGUUAAGCAGUAAAUGUGGAGCCGUAGCGAAAGCGAGUCUGAAUAGGGCGUUUAGUAUUUGGUCGUAGACCCGAAACCAGGUGAUCUACCCUUGGUCAGGUUGAAGUUCAGGUAACACUGAAUGGAGGACCGAACCGACUUACGUUGAAAAGUGAGCGGAUGAACUGAGGGUAGCGGAGAAAUUCCAAUCGAACCUGGAGAUAGCUGGUUCUCUCCGAAAUAGCUUUAGGGCUAGCCUCAAGUGAUGAUUAUUGGAGGUAGAGCACUGUUUGGACGAGGGGCCCCUCUCGGGUUACCGAAUUCAGACAAACUCCGAAUGCCAAUUAAUUUAACUUGGGAGUCAGAACAUGGGUGAUAAGGUCCGUGUUCGAAAGGGAAACAGCCCAGACCACCAGCUAAGGUCCCAAAAUAUAUGUUAAGUGGAAAAGGAUGUGGCGUUGCCCAGACAACUAGGAUGUUGGCUUAGAAGCAGCCAUCAUUUAAAGAGUGCGUAAUAGCUCACUAGUCGAGUGACACUGCGCCGAAAAUGUACCGGGGCUAAACAUAUUACCGAAGCUGUGGAUUGUCCUUUGGACAAUGGUAGGAGAGCGUUCUAAGGGCGUUGAAGCAUGAUCGUAAGGACAUGUGGAGCGCUUAGAAGUGAGAAUGCCGGUGUGAGUAGCGAAAGACGGGUGAGAAUCCCGUCCACCGAUUGACUAAGGUUUCCAGAGGAAGGCUCGUCCGCUCUGGGUUAGUCGGGUCCUAAGCUGAGGCCGACAGGCGUAGGCGAUGGAUAACAGGUUGAUAUUCCUGUACCACCUAUAAUCGUUUUAAUCGAUGGGGGGACGCAGUAGGAUAGGCGAAGCGUGCGAUUGGAUUGCACGUCUAAGCAGUAAGGCUGAGUAUUAGGCAAAUCCGGUACUCGUUAAGGCUGAGCUGUGAUGGGGAGAAGACAUUGAGUCUUCGAGUCGUUGAUUUCACACUGCCGAGAAAAGCCUCUAGAUAGAAAAUAGGUGCCCGUACCGCAAACCGACACAGGUAGUCAAGAUGAGAAUUCUAAGGUGAGCGAGCGAACUCUCGUUAAGGAACUCGGCAAAAUGACCCCGUAACUUCGGGAGAAGGGGUGCUCUUUAGGGUUAACGCCCAGAAGAGCCGCAGUGAAUAGGCCCAAGCGACUGUUUAUCAAAAACACAGGUCUCUGCUAAACCGUAAGGUGAUGUAUAGGGGCUGACGCCUGCCCGGUGCUGGAAGGUUAAGAGGAGUGGUUAGCUUCUGCGAAGCUACGAAUCGAAGCCCCAGUAAACGGCGGCCGUAACUAUAACGGUCCUAAGGUAGCGAAAUUCCUUGUCGGGUAAGUUCCGACCCGCACGAAAGGCGUAACGAUUUGGGCACUGUCUCAACGAGAGACUCGGUGAAAUCAUAGUACCUGUGAAGAUGCAGGUUACCCGCGACAGGACGGAAAGACCCCGUGGAGCUUUACUGUAGCCUGAUAUUGAAAUUCGGCACAGCUUGUACAGGAUAGGUAGGAGCCUUUGAAACGUG